rnacentral:rRNA from 1 species
AGAGUUUGAUCCUGGCUCAGGAUGAACGCUAGCUACAGGCUUAACACAUGCAAGUCGAGGGGCAGCAUGUUGGUUGCUUGCAACCAACGAUGGCGACCGGCGCACGGGUGAGUAACGCGUAUCCAACCUACCCUUGUCCAUCGGAUAACCCGUCGAAAGGCGGCCUAACACGAUAUGCGGUUCACGGCAGGCAUCUAAGGUGAACGAAAUGUGAAGGAGAAGGAUGGGGAUGCGUCUGAUUAGCUUGUUGGCGGGGUAACGGCCACGAAGGCUACGAUCAGGUAGGGGUUCUGGAGAGGAAGGUCCCCCANAUUCGGAACUGAGACACGGUCCAAACUCCGUACGGGAGCA